rnacentral:rRNA from 1 species
CUGACGACCGGCGCACGGGUGCGUAACGCGUAUACAAUCUACCUUGUACUAAGGUAUAGCCCAGAGAAAUUUGGAUUAAUACCUCAUAGUAUUAUAGAUUGGCAUCGAUUUAUAAUUAAACAUUUAUGGGUAAGAGAUGGCUAUGCGUCCUAUUAGUUAGUUGGUAAGGUAACGGCUUACCAAGACAGCGAUAGGUAGGGGUCCUGAGAGGGAGACCCCCCACACUGGUACUGAGACACGGACCAGACUCC